rnacentral:miRNA from 1 species
AUCUCAAGUGGAUUGCUUAAGGAC